rnacentral:rRNA from 1 species
CGGGAGGCUGCAGCAGUGGGGAAUAUUGCACAAUGGGGGAAACCCUGAUGCAGCAACGCCGCGUGGAGGAUGACGCAUUUCGGUGUGUAAACUCCUUUUAUAUAGGAAGAUAAUGACGGUACUAUAUGAAUAAGCACCGGCUAACUCCGUGCCAGCAGCCGCGGUAAUACGGAGGGUGCAAGCGUUACUCGGAAUCACUGGGCGUAAAGCGCGCGCAGGCGGCCUUUUAAGUUGGAUGUGAAAGCCUAUGGCUUAACCAUAGAACUGCAUCCAAAACUAUCAGGCUAGAGUCUGGAGGGGAAGAUGGAAUUAGUUGUGUAGGGGUAAAAUCCGUAGAGAUAACUAGGAAUACCAAAAGCGAAGGCGAUCUUCUGGAACAGUACUGACGCUGAGGCGCGAAAGCGUGGGGAGCAAACAGGAUUAGAUACCCCCGUAGUC